rnacentral:ncRNA from 1 species
AAUUUAUAACGAAGAGGUAAGAGACAGGCUCUAUGAUCCUCUGGCAACCUGAUUCAAGGUGCCAAAUCCUGCCCGAACAGGGAAAUAUAAAUA